rnacentral:tRNA from 1 species
GGCACUAUAGCCAAGUGGUUAAGGCGAUAGAUUCGAAUCAACUCAAUCUAUUACUCUCUGAGUGCGCAGGUUCAAAUCCUGCUGGUGUCG